GACAGAGGGUGCGAACGUUGCUCGGAAUUACUGGGCGUAAAGAGCGCGCAGGCGGUCGUUCAAGUCGAGUGUGAAAGCCCCCGGCUCAACUGGGGAGGGUCACUCGAUACUGAUCGACUUGAAGGCAGGAGAGGGAAGCGGAAUUCCCGGUGUAGUGGUGAAAUGCGUAGAAAUCGGGAGGAACACCAGUGGCGAAGGCGGCUUCCUGGCCUGUUCUUGACGCUGAGGCGCGAAAGCUAGGGGAGCAAACGGG
rnacentral:rRNA from 1 species